rnacentral:lncRNA from 1 species
CAGCUGUAUGACGCUCUGUCCCAAAGCAGAAGGCUGGCAGGAAAGGUCUAGCAUAGGUAACCCUUUUUAACACAGCCAAUCCCUAUGGGUAGAUGACUGAUGGGGGAGAGAGUUUCCCCUUCAUUGUAAGAUUGGAAGGACGCUGGAACAGUGAGCCAAACACAUUGCGGUAGUUGAUAUUUUUCUUUUGUUUCUUUUUCUUUCUUUUUAAAAAAUCUGUUAGUCAGCAAGGGAGGGAAGAUUGACAGAUACCUUUUCCCAAUAUGCAACUAUCAGAUGUUUUAUGCAUGCAAAUUAUGUUUUAGGAAUUGGCCAACUUCACCAUAACCAAAUUUGGGUAUGGGUGGACUAGCCUUGGGCUCAUAUGAAUUUAAUUGAGAUAUUUACUUAGAAAUCCAUUGGGGAAAAAAAACAGGGGUUAGGAAGGAGGGGGGAUAUCUGUCAUAUCUUUAGCAUCUCUUUUUUAAAAGGUGUUUUUAUGGUGAAUGUUUUGGGUUUAGAUUUUUAUCCCCUGUCCCCUCCAGCAUGAUGGUUUUGGAGAUUUGCUUGCUGUGUGAUUGACAAGCACUUUUACUGACAAAAAUGGUGAGGCUCUGUCAGAACCUCCACCUUCCCCAACACCAAAGACAGGGGCAGUGCAGUAUUCCAACCAGCAAUGGGUGGGGAGGCAUUGUAUACAUGUAAAUUUAAAAGUCCUGUGAGUGGAAGUGUUUUUUUUUAAAUGAUUUUUGUCCUUAUGUAUUUGAUUUAUAUAUGACAUCUAGCUAUCUCUUUAUAUAUAACUAUAUAUAUAUAUAACUAUAUAUAUAUUUAUAUAUAUAUAUAUAUACAUACAUGUCCCCUAGUUUUGGAUCAUGAGAGAUCUUCAUGCAUUCUUUGCAAAGGAGGUUAUGAGGUUUUUCCCUCAGAACAUUUAUAACUAUACGAAUGUGCCAGUUAAAGUGCUCAACAGGAAAUAUGACAGUUUAAAAGCAUUGUAAAACUCACAUAGCUUACUUCUCUCUCUAAAGUGCAACAAGGAUGACUAGAAUGGGCCAAGGUAUGACAAUUAAUGGUUCUGCAUGACCUAGCCACUGCUGGGGGUUUUCUUCUAUAACGUUGUCCUUGUGAAACUUUUGUGGAAUUAAAAAAAGGAGUUACAAAUUUUA